rnacentral:rRNA from 1 species
AUUGAACGCUGGCGGCAGGCCUAACACAUGCAAGUCGAGCGGAUGAAGGGAGCUUGCUCCUGGAUUCAGCGGCGGACGGGUGAGUAAUGCCUAGGAAUCUGCCUGGUAGUGGGGGAUAACGUCCGGAAACGGGCGCUAAUACCGCAUACGUCCUGAGGGAGAAAGUGGGGGAUCUUCGGACCUCACGCUAUCAGAUGAGCCUAGGUCGGAUUAGCUAAUUGGUGGGGUAAAGGCCUACCAAGGCGACGAUCCGUAACUGGUCUGAGAGGAUGAUCAGUCACACUGGAACUGAGACACGGUCCAGACUCCUACGGGAGGCAGCAGUGGGGAAUAUUGGACAAUGGGCGAAAGCCUGAUCCAGCCAUGCCGCGUGUGUGAAGAAGGUCUUCGGAUUGUAAAGCACUUUAAGUUGGGAGGAAGGGCAGUAAGUUAAUACCUUGCUGUUUUGACGUUACCAACAGAAUAAGCACCGGCUAACUUCGUG